AAAAUAAUAGGUUAAUAAUUAAACUAUCACAGUUCAAAUGUGACAAUAGCUUAUGCUUUAUUUUG
rnacentral:tRNA from 1 species